UGAAAAUGUGCAACAAGUGUACCAUUGACUACGACUCGCCCUCAUCUCUAACCAGUCUCCAGCACAUCAGAGUUCAGGAUCUAUGAUGAUGGGAGUUAUAUAGCUGAAAAUUUAAUAGGAGUUUCAAGUUUGAUGUGAUUGAGAUUGACUUCAACUCUAUACCUUGAUUUUUCGGUAUCAAUGCGGCGUUGCUCAGGCGUUAAACCGUUGCUUGAAGCUCCGAGGAAG
rnacentral:misc_RNA from 1 species